UGGUUUGCCUGGGACUGAG
rnacentral:miRNA from 1 species